rnacentral:lncRNA from 10 species
AAAAAAGUCUCAUGGGACUCCCUUCACAUAUGUGGUCCGUCAGUGACCGAAAUGCUGUUAUACUGCACAUGACUGUUUGCUGAAUGAACUCUGAGUCUUGCCCCCGGGUCUGGAGGGCUUCUCUUCCCGUGCCUUCCCGCACUCCACUGCAGCCAUCAUCUCAUGUGGGGAGAGUGAGAAGGACCCUGAUCCCCCUCCGAGAGCCUAUACCACCCAGGCAGCAAAGCAGGGCCAGGCAGGGUGCACAGCCACCCCCAAGUGGUUCUCAGGCCCCACCUCUGGACCUCCUACCCUUUGCAGACCUGGAGAUUCAUUCAUUUG